GGGCUAAUGGUGGAAGGGUACCAUACGUUUUUCGGGUGAACGAGGUCCAGGUUCGACUCCUGGUUAGCCUG